AGCAAUGAUACAUAGCAUAUCCUAUGUGAGA
rnacentral:piRNA from 1 species